rnacentral:rRNA from 1 species
CCUACGGGUGGCUGCAGUGGGGAAUAUUGCACAAUGUGCGCAAGCCUGAUGCAGCCAUGCCGCGUGUGUGAAGAAGGCCUUCGGGUUGUAAAGCACUUUCAGCGGGGAGGAAGGCGGUGAGGUUAAUAACCUCAUCGAUUGACGUUACCCGCAGAAGAAGCACCGGCUAACUCCGUGCCAGCAGCCGCGGUAAUACGGAGGGUGCAAGCGUUAAUCGGAAUUACUGGGCGUAAAGCGCACGCAGGCGGUCUGUCAAGUCGGAUGUGAAAUCCCCGGGCUCAACCUGGGAACUGCAUUCGAAACUGGCAGGCUAGAGUCUUGUAGAGGGGGGUAGAAUUCCAGGUGUAGCGGUGAAAUGCGUAGAGAUCUGGAGGAAUACCGGUGGCGAAGGCGGCCCCCUGGACAAAGACUGACGCUCAGGUGCGAAAGCGUGGGGAGCAAACAGGAUUAGAUACCCCGGUAGUC